rnacentral:lncRNA from 1 species
GGUGUUUACAGCUGUUGCCAGUCGACCAAUAAUCUGCCGUCACACUUUCAAACCCCCGCAAAUCAAAAUGCAGUCUUUCCGAAAAAGGCCCCGUACCGCCGAGCGGAUGACCCGAGGAUGGAACCACGCCUGCCAAUGAGGACGAAGCGAGCACAGCCCGACCAGACAGUCCGCACCAAUCACAACAACUGACAGAGGGGGAGGAUGAUCCUCAGAGUAAUGAGGGAAACAAAGAGAACAAGACAAAGUCAGGAGGGAGCAGGAGACGAGGAGGACAGAGACAUAAAGGCAAAUCAAACCAGAGCAGCUCCACCACAGCAGCCCCGUCAUCAGCAGGCACAGGAGGUUCCUAAACUACACCCCUCUCAGCCCCCAAACUACAGUACUUCCUCCAUCCAGCUGUUUCAGCAGACAACCUUCCCCCUUCCCAAAACUACUCCACUACAAACCCCUGUCGAAAAAAUGGGGUCAUAAAAUGUCCCUUUCCCCACCUCUCUCCCUCUAUACCACCUGGCUAUCUAUCGCCUUAUCAAGUGUCUUUAUCACUCACACCAGAGAAAGUCUAGGUGAAAAGCAGCUCUCAGCUCUGUGCUUGUAGAUGGUUACCUCUGCCUCCUCACUCUCAUCUUAUCUCCGCUUAGUUUAGAAAACAUCCUUAUAUUUACAGUAUAUGAACUUGAUAUGCCUUCUUUCAUUGGGUCUACGGUGAGAAUCACUGUAAUACUGUGUAUAGUUAAUCAUGGGCCCGAAGCCACAUGAGCAGCUAUUCCCUUACAGUAGAGUAACCCAGCUCCAUGCACUAUAGCUCAUUGUUUCACUGUUUAGCAGGCAUACUAGUUUCUCUCAUUUCCUAUUUACCACUAGAAUCCCCAAUAUGACAUAAUGAAGCAUGUUUUCUAUUUAAUUUUAUACUAAAAUGUGAAGAUUAAUGAAAGGAAGUAAGGUCACAACUGACAUAGUGAAUGGUACAUUUUAGUGGGCCUUCAUUAUGAGUGAAAUAUUGUAGAUAAGAUGUUUAAUUGGCCAUUUAUGACCAAAAGGAAAGCCAGGGUUUGUCUGACUAUCACACCCUUCCUCAAGUCCAUCCUCCAUGGCCCGGAAAGGGAUUGUGUUUGUGGGCGAAAUGGAAAGCCAGGGUUUGUCUGACUAUCACACCAUUUCUCAAGUCCAUCCUCCAUGGCCCGGAAAGGGAUUGUGUUUGUGGGCGAAAUGGAAAGGAUCUAUCACACC